rnacentral:rRNA from 1 species
UACAGAGACUGCAAGCGUUAUUCGGAUUCACUGGGCGUAAAGGGUGCGCAGGCGGCCGUGUGUGUUAGGCGUGAAAGCCCGAGGCUCAACCUCGGAAUUGCACCUAAAACUACACGGCUAGAGUACUGGAGAGGGUAGCGGAAUUCAUGGUGUAGCAGUGAAAUGCGUAGAUAUCAUGAGGAACACCAAUGGCGAAGGCAGCUACCUGGACAGUUACUGACGCUCAGGCACGAAAGCGUGGGGAGCAAAAGGG